GCCUUACAUUUACCGUGGUUUCAAUGCAGGUACACGCGGAAAGGCCAGCCAGCUGGCCACCUCUGGGCGGACCGCUUGGCCCCUUACGUGGCAACAUGGACCCAAGCGCUACAGGACGUUGUUGAUGAGGCGCGUCCCCACACCGAGGGAAACUUUAGGGAGUACCUACGGUGGUACGUACCUCGUACGCGGACUCGUGUCACCUACACCCCUGAUGAUGUCCGGGGCCACGUCGCAUCGACAACGGAGACAUACCCGGUGCAUUGGGACGAGGACGCCGCUUUAGCAACAGAUAUCAUUUAUGAUGUAAAUAGGGAUGCAGCUGCUGCCAUGGACCGCGUCCGGCAAGGGCAUCACCUAAGUGCGUCGGAUGUUGCGAGCUUCAUUAGACGGGUUUUCGACAAGACGACGCGCGCCCUGAAACUCACCUCCUGCCGAUCUACCACAGAUGUAGCAGGGCCGCCUCCCAGGACGAGUGGUGCACACGCCGAGUCGUCUCGGCCGUCAGACGUGCACCGCCGAUCUUCAGUGUCGGCACCCACACGACCCCUUCUGUCACGUCUUGGAGGGUCCGAGCAACAUGGUACGAAUUAUACUUUUGAAAAUUAUUGAUCAAUAUCCUUUACUUAUUGUUAUUAAACAUUCAUUAGGUCCGUCUGCACAAGUCCCGACGCAGCCUCGCAGAUUGAGCCCUGUACGUCCACAGUCAGGUACUCCGGGAACCCUUCUUCCUAAUUUCUAGUACUUUCAGCAAAAUAAGUUACAACUUUGCUCAGAUUACUUCGGUGACGAGGCCGGUCCGUCUUCGGCGGCCCCACACCCUACCCCCCCCCUCGCAACGUACUACGGCACGUCAGCGUGGCCUUCUUCUGCUGCACCGUCGUACCACGCAGGCCCCUCCAGCCAGUACACAUGGACGCCUGCCGAGCCUUCACAGUCCUCCUACCCUAGUCAGGAGGAUGAGGCUGGCCCCGACACCGCAUACGACAUCGUCCGUGACUUCUUCGGGGGCACACCUGACUACGACGUCCUUCAGCGGUCCCAGGUUUCCAGUGCACCGCUUCGGACCCAGCCCACGCAUGACGAACCCUCGACACCGGUGGUCCCUACUAGGCCUAGCAGACACGUCGGCCCACCUGACCCCCUCACCUACUCCAGGGGUCACGUGAGGGUUAACCAGCGGCAUCGGGACCACGAUGGGGCGCACGGACGACGGCAACGAGGGAGGCAUG